UAGUGACGUCAUCGUGGCGCGACAGCGCUUGACAGCGAACGAACUGCAAACUCCAGAUACACAAACACAUAAACUGAUUUAAAACAACUUAAGCAAGAGAUUCGACACACUUCUAAACUUGAACCUGUGGUGUAUAAGGCUGAAGUGUCUGCACUGGACCCAAACUCACUCUCCAGCAGCCCUUUCAUAACUUUGUCCAUUGCCCUGUGCCAAAGGUCAUGUUCCGUGCAAUGGAUAUAAUGGAGCUGAAGAUUCUUGAAAGUGUAAACAGCAGAGAAGGCAGCUCUGACCUAACAUCAUCAUCAUAGCAUCACACAGUAGAAACGGCAGUCACCAAGUCCUCCUGUCAGGCUACUGCGCAAAGGUCUGGUGGCCCCAGCAUGUUGUAUGAUCUGUGUAAGCAUUGGCUGACCACCACAAAGCAUCAUGGUCUGUCGGUGGAGCUGCAACUGAAGAUGAUGGCCGUCUGCACUGGUCAAAUGGCCCUAUCACUGCUUGGGGGCCUCAACAGUUGAGGACGAAGAGUCUGACAGUUUUCAAACAUCUGAACAUUUACACAUUAACAUGUAGCAUAGUUCUAAUAAUAAAAAAUAUAGAAUAGAAUAGAGUAGAAUAGAAUUAUUUUUGUGUUUUACAAAUAUAUUACAAAAGAUAUUGCACAAAAAAACAUUACUGAUAAUAGGUGAACAUCAAGGAUCAGAUUAAAAAAAUAAAAAAGGCAUGCCAUGACCCCUUUAAGACAUAAAGUACAUGACAGUGUUUGCAAUGUACAUACAAAGCAAUACACACAAAACAAUACUAAAUGUAGAGUAUACUGUGUGUGUGUGUGUGUGUGUGUGUGUGUGUGUGUGUUCAUGUAUAUUUGGUUUUGUGUGUGUGUGUGUUCAGGUAUGUUUGGUUGUGUGUGUGUGUGUGUGUGUGUGUGUGUGUGUGUGUGUGUGUGUGUGUGUGUGUGUGUGUGUUUUCAGGUAUAUUUGGUUUACAUGUAUGUGUGUGUGUUCAGGUAUAUUUGGUUUCGUGUGUGUGUGUGUGUGUGUGUGUGUUCAGGUAUAUUUUGUUUCAUGUAUGUGUGUGUGUGUGUGUGUGUGUGUGUGUUCAGGUAUAUUUUGUUUCGUGUGUGUGUGUGUGUGUGUUCAGGUAUAUUUUGUUUCGUGUGUGUGUGUGUGUUCAGGUAUAUUUUGUUUCGUGUGUGUGUGUUCAGGUAUAUUUAGUUUCGUGUGUGUGUGUGUGUGUUCAGGUAUAUUUGGCUUAUGAGGAUUAUUCACUAGCACUAUUCUAGAUUAUACACAUGUAAUUGUGUGUGUGUAUUCAGGUAUAUUUGGUUUACGUGUGUUAGAUUUAGCCUAAUAGUUUAAUGUUGGUGUCUAUCUUUAGUAAACUAAAGAAGUUUGGAAAGAGUGUAGUCUAUGUGGAGUCUACUGGUGUUUACAGAGAGAGUAAGUAAAUAUUGGGUGAAACAGGUUAAUGUGACAUUUUUUUUUAAGUAUUCACUAAUUAAGGAAUUAAGUAGUUUAUUCGGUUAAUUCCUCUCUUAGUUUAGUAAUAGCGACCUGUAUGACUGUGUUGUCACACAGUGGAAUGAGUCAUACUGAUUCUUUGCUAUUUAAGUGAUACAGUUUCGCCCUCUGCUGGCAUUCGCAGAUUAUCUGUGACCAUUGAUGGCCUGUCUAUACACUGAGAGCAAAUGACCACAAAACUAGAAUGCUUAUGUUAUGGAUAAUUUUGUGGAAAAAUAUACACAUUGAUUUUUUUUUUAAAGAAAUGUUUUAUUAAAUGUCGAUGGAGCAACACAAUUUUUGCGAAAGGAAAUUAUUAAAAAAACGUUUUGAUUAAAAAUCAUGUAAAUAUUAAGGCAGCUCGAGGGAUCUUUUACCCCACACAUGUGGUUAUGCAUAGGGUAAAAUUCAGAGUUUAUUUUUAUAUUGUCUGUCUACUAAAGGAUGAUACGGGUUUUAAUAUUGAAGUACACUAUUGAGUAAUAUGGGUAUUAACACAAUCACAUUGCAAUCUAGUUAAUGUAAUUAUUAACUGAUUACUGCUUUGGAGUAACAGGAGUCUCUAUGCCCUCUCAGAUUUGUGCAUGACAGGGGUGGAUCUGCUCAUCAAAGAUCUCAAAAUAAAAGAACUCAAAGAUCAGCAUCACUGGUAGCAGGUAGCAGCGGACUGGGCCAAUCAGAAGGGAGCUCCGGUGAGCGGCAGCGAUCAUGCAGUGGAGUCCCAGUCGUCGUUGCGUUUGGGGCUUCAGCUGCUCGUGGGUGACAGCAGAAUUUACCUGUGUGACGUCGGUUUGCUCCCACCAGGUGUUUCACCAUUUGGGGUGAAGUUUGUUAUUCCUCUUCAUUCAGUACAGCGGAAGAAAAAAAUGCUUUAAACUGUUAUUGCUGCUGCCAGUGCACUGUCCCUAAUGCACCAGAAUCAUGUCGCUUUCAAUUAAGUAUGCAUUGCACUUUAAAAGUAAUGAGAAUUUUGAACAAAAGAUCCUUUAGAAGUCAUAAACACGUUUUCAGAUGGUGAAAUAUGAAGGUGCCUUCUGGCUAAAUGUUAUGGAUAUAAAACAUUUGAUUUUAGAUUGGCACACCACUAACGCAUCAGUACUUGGAGGGAGAAAAUCUCAUGAAAAUAUAUCCACGUCAGAUUUCACCAGAAAAUCUAAAGAAAAAGUAAGAAAUUAUAUUUCUCAUUAAGAAAAUUAAAAGUCUAUUUUAGGUCCAUUAAUACUUAUUUGCAUUGUGAGAAAUGACUGAAAUACAUUUACUCUCAUAUCUUUGUCUAAGUACAAGACUGUGCAAAAGUUUUAGGCACUUGUGAAAAAUGUUGCAUAGUGAGGAUGUCUUCAAAAAUAAUGACAUAAAUAGUUUUCAUUUAUCAAUUAAUGUCAUAUAAAGUCCAGUAAACAUAAAAAAGCUAAAUCAAUAUUUGGUGUGACCACCUUUGCCUUUAAAACAGCACCAAUUCUCCAGGUAUACCUGGACACAGUUUUUCUUGGUUGUUGGCAGAUAGGAUAUUCCAAGCUUCUUGGAGAAUUCACCACAGUUCUUCUAUCUGUUUAGACUCUCUCAAUUGCUUCUGUCUCUAUAUGUAAUCUCAGACUGACACAAUGUUCAGUGGGGGGCUUUGUGGGGGCCAUGACAUCUGUUGCAGGGCUCCCUGUUCUUCUAUUCUAAUCUUUUCUAUUUGCAAAAGUAAUAUUUGGGAGUGUAACAUUUAUAUUUCCUAUUGACACACUAAAGCUGAAGAUAUAAAUAACCAUCUUGAGACAAAUGCUUUUGUGAAACAUGUGGCAAAGACUUUUGUAUAGUACUAUAUAUCAAGUAUUUUUAAAG